rnacentral:rRNA from 1 species
UACGAAGGGGGCUAGCGUUGCUCGGAAUCACUGGGCGUAAAGGGUGCGUAGGCGGGUCUUUAAGUCAGGGGUGAAAUCCUGGAGCUCAACUCCAGAACUGCCUUUGAUACUGAAGAUCUUGAGUUCGGGAGAGGAGAGUGGAACUGCGAGUGUAGAGGUGAAAUUCGUAGAUAUUCGCAAGAACACCAGUGGCGAAGGCGGCUCACUGGCCCGAUACUGACGCUGAGGCACGAAAGCGUGGGGAGCAAACAGG